GUCCACGCCCUAAAACGAUGUCAACUGGUUGUUGGGUCUUUACUGACUCAGUAACGAAGCUAACGCGUGAAGUUGACCGCCUGGGGAGUACGGCCGCAAGGUUAAAACUCAAAGGAAUUGACGGGGACCCGCACAAGCGGUGGAUGAUGUUCUUUAAUUCGAUGCAACGCGAAAACCUUACCCACCUUUGACAUGUAUGGAAUCCUUUAGAGAUGAAGGAGUGCUCGAAAGAGAGCCAUAACACAGGUGCUGCAUGGCUGUCGU
rnacentral:rRNA from 1 species